UUUCCGUAGGUGAACCUGCGGAAGGAUCAUUAUUGUAUAAUCGAGGUGCGAGGGCUGUCGCUGACCCGAAAGGUCGUGCACGCCCGAGUGCCCUCACACACAUCCAUCUCACCCCUAUGUGCACCACCGCGUGGGUCCCCCUUUGGCUUGUUCGGAGGGGGGCUUACGUUUUCACACAAACUUUGUAUGCAGUGUAGAAUGUAUUUUUUGUUUUUGCGAUCACGCAAUCAAUACAACUUUCAACAACGGAUCUCUUGGCUCUC
rnacentral:misc_RNA from 1 species